UGGGGAAUAUUGCACAAUGGGCGCAAGCCUGAUGCAGCCAUGCCGCGUGUAUGAAGAAGGCCUUCGGGUUGUAAAGUACUUUCAGCGGGGAGGAAGGGAGUAAAGUUAAUACCUUUGCUCAUUGACGUUACCCGCAGAAGAAGCACCGGCUAACUCCGUGCCAGCAGCCGCGGUAAUACGGAGGGUGCAAGCGUUAAUCGGAAUUACUGGGCGUAAAGCGCACGCAGGCGGUUUGUUAAGUCAGAUGUGAAAUCCCCGGGCUCAACCUGGGAACUGCAUCUGAUACUGGCAAGCUUGAGUCUCGUAGAGGGGGGUAGAAUUCCAGGUGUAGCGGUGAAAUGCGUAGAGAUAUGGAGGAAUACCGGUGGCGAAGGCGGCCCCCUGGACGAAGACUGACGCUCAGGUGCGAAAGCGUGGGGAGCAAACAGG
rnacentral:rRNA from 1 species